rnacentral:lncRNA from 1 species
GUUUCGACUGUGGAGGUCAGAGGACAGCUUUCCGGAAUCCUUUCUCAUGUUCUACCCUGACUCAGGUUCGGAUUCAGGACACCAGAAUGCCCUUCCCCAGACCCGGAUCCUCUAGAAUAGUCACAGAGCUGAGUUGGGUUUUAACCCCAUACAACAUGAGCGCUCCUCUCUCCUCGCUGAGCUCUGAGUACCAGCUGAACUAGGUACUCCGACGCAACGCAUGCGCAGGGAAGUGCCACGCUGUUAUUUCUCUCACAUCCACGAGGGGUCGCACAACGCCUUCCAGAGUUCGCCCCAAGAACCUGCGCCUUAGUAAAUCCCUUCCCUCCGGAACCUCCCAUCUCUCCCAACACCACCUUCGGGUUUAAAGUUCCAGAGCUGUAUUCCUGGUUGUCCCAGAAACCUAUCCGUGCAGCCGCUUGGCGUGAUUUAACUGAGCUAUGGGAAGCAUGCAGUCUGACUCCUUCAUUCAGUACCCUAUACUGUGCUUUCCUCGUCAGCAAAAUGAUAAUCCCCACUGCGCUGAGCGCUAUCCAAGAGAGUGGGGAGCCUCAUCUCAUUUUGAGCAUGGUGUCCAGCACAUUCCAGGAGCCCGGUAUACCCCAGGGGCAGCAAGGUUUCCUGAGUGAGAUCUCUAUAAUGGAGGCAGACUUCAGGCCCUCAAGUCAGACGGGUCCGGCUCAUGAAACUCUA